rnacentral:tRNA from 1 species
GCGCUUGUAGUCUAACCUGGUUAGGACAUGAGGUUGCCAAUCUCAGGAUCCGGGUUCAAAUCCCGGCGGGCGCA